GUGAUCUUCCCACUUCAGCCUCCUGAGUAGCUGGGACCACAGCUACCCUUAGCCUUCCACCAUGAGUGGAAGCAGCCUGAUGCACUCAGCAGCAGGACCAGAUGCUGGUGCCGUACUUCUUAUACAGCUUGCAGAACUGUGACCCAAAUAAACUUCUUUUCCUUAUAAAUUA